GUUUGAUCCUGGCUCAGGAUGAACGCUGGCGGCGUGCUUAACACAUGCAAGUCGAACGAACCUUCGGGUUAGUGGCGGACGGGUGAGUAACGCGUGAGAAUCUGCCCUCAGGAGGGGGAUAACGGUUGGAAACGACCGCUAAUACCCCAUAUGCCUACUGGUGAAACGAAUUUCGCCUGAGGAUGAGCUCGCGUCUGAUUAGCUAGUUGGUGAGGUAAUGGCUCACCAAGGCUUCGAUCAGUAGCUGGUCUGAGAGGAUGAUCAGCCACACUGGGACUGAGACACGGCCCAGACUCCUACGGGAGGCAGCAGUGGGGAAUUUUCCGCAAUGGGCGAAAGCCUGACGGAGCAACGCCGCGUGAGGGACGAAGGCCUCUGGGCUGUAAACCUCUUUUCUCAAGGAAGAAGAUAUGACGGUACUUGAGGAAUAAGCCACGGCUAAUUCCGUGCCAGCAGCCGCGGUAAUACGGGAGUGGCAAGCGUUAUCCGGAAUUAUUGGGCGUAAAGCGUCCGCAGGCGGCUUUUCAAGUCUGCUGUUAAAACGUGGAGCUUAACUCCAUCAUGGCAGUGGAAACUGUAAAGGCUUGAGUAUGGUAGGGGCAGAGGGAAUUCCCGGUGUAGCGGUGAAAUGCGUAGAUAUCGGGAAGAACACCAGUGGCGAAGGCGCUCUGCUGGGCCAUUACUGACGCUCAUGGACGAAAGCCAGGGGAGCGAAAGGGAUUAGAUACCCCUGUAGUCCUGGCCGUAAACGAUGAACACUAGGUGUCGGGGGAAUCGACCCCUUCGGUGUCGUAGCUAACGCGUUAAGUGUUCCGCCUGGGGAGUACGCACGCAAGUGUGAAACUCAAAGGAAUUGACGGGGGCCCGCACAAGCGGUGGAGUAUGUGGUUUAAUUCGAUGCAACGCGAAGAACCUUACCAGGGUUUGACAUCCUGCGAACCUCUUAGAAAUUUGAGGGUGCCUUCGGGAAUGCAGUGACAGGUGGUGCAUGGCUGUCGUCAGCUCUUUUUGUGAGAUGUUGGGUUAAGUCCCGCAGGGGGGGGGGCCCACGUUUUUAGUUGCCAGCAUUUAGUUGGGCACUCUAGAAAGACCGCCGGUGAUAAACCGGAGGAAGGUGUGGAUGACGUCAAGUCAUCAUGCCCCUUACACCCUGGGCUACACACGUACUACAAUGCUACGGACAAAGGGCAGCAAACUCGCGAGAGCUAGCAAAUCCCAUAAACCGUGGCUCAGUUCAGAUCGUAGGCUGCAACUCGCCUACGUGAAGUAGGAAUCGCUAGUAAUCGCAGGUCAGCAUACUGCGGUGAAUACGUUCCCGGGCCUUGUACACACCGCCCGUCACACCAUGGAAGUUGGCCAUGCCCGAAGUCGUUACUCCAACCCUUGUGGAGGAGGACGCCGAAGGUGGGGCUAAUGACUGGGGUGAAGUCGUAACAAGGUA
rnacentral:rRNA from 1 species